rnacentral:misc_RNA from 1 species
UGCAUGGAACUAUAAUAAGAAACUCUAAUCUUGAUAUUCAGGUUUCCUUUCUUUUUGAUCCAAGACAUACAAUAUCCAGUUAAGGAUAUUCCCUGGUUCUGACACGCAAACAAUUGAUAAAUGAUAUGAACAUAUUACAAUCACAUUGUCAACCACCCCCCUCAACACUAGCAUUACAUUAUGCCGCUUGCUUUGAUAGUUUACAGUAUGGUACAACAUUGAUUGGUUUUUUUUGCCUGCUUGUAGAACAUCUGUGAAGC